GGCUCCCCCCAGAGAAGCGUGGCGCGAGUGGAGUGCUAGGAGGCUGGGGCUUGUGGGUUCCUCCGUCCCCUCCCCUGCGCGGUGAAGGCACGCGGCCGUGGGGUCCAGGACGAGCAUCUGCAGAGGAGCGGGAUCUGGAAGGCUCGGACCAGCUCUGAAAGCCCCAGGACCUAAAGAAAAGUUAACACUCACCAUGAUGACACAGCUACUAGAACGGGGUGCGUUUGAAAACAACAACAAGAAGCAAGACACAGGUCCAGGGACGUCUCAUGCUUCAGCCUCACAGGAGAGCCCCGCGACCCCGGCACUCACCUGAGCAGAACCCAAGGAGCAGGAGGAGCAGCUGUGGCUCCAUGGGCCGUGGGCGCUGGUGUGGACUGGAGGGUAUUGCACUCUGACUGCCUAGGAAAAAAUACAUCCUUCCACCCAGUUCUUGCAUCUAGAUGGAACCAUGUGACUGGAUUCUAGAAAAUGAAAUGUGAGGAGAAAUUUUGAGACUCACAAACCUUUCAGCAGAGCGCAUCCAUGCUCUUCUAGUCUUUUCUUUUUAAAGUAUCCAGUAUCGGGCAUCUGGGUGGCUCAGUUAGUUAAGCAUCAGUCUUCGGCUCAGGUUAUGAUCUCAGGGUCCUGGGAUCGAGUCCCACAUCAGGCUCCCUGCUCAGCAGAGAGUCUGCUUCUCCUUCUCCCUCUGCCCCUGCUCCCCCUGCUUGUGCUCUCUCUCUCUCUCAAAAAAUAAAAUCUUUAUUAAAAAAAUACAGUAUCCAGUAUCAUUAAUAGAGUGUUACAUUAGUUUCAGGUGUACAAUAUAGUGAUUCAACAACUCUAUGCUUUACUCAGUGCUCAUUGCAAGUGUACUCUUUUCUUCACCCUUUUCACCCAUCCCUCCACUGAGUUCCCUCAGGUGACCACCUGUUCUCUACAGUUAAGAGCCUGUUUUUUAGAUUUGUCUCUUUUUCCUCCCCUUUGUUCAUUUGUUUUGUUUCUUAAUUACACAUAAAAGUGAAAUUGUAUGUUAUUUAUCUUUCUCUGACUGACUUAUUUCACAAUAAUGCUGCAAUAAUCGUAGGGGUGCAUGUAUCUUUUUGAAUUAGUGUUUCUGUAUUCUUUAGGUAAAUACCCAGUAGUGGAAUUAUUGGAUCAUAGGGUAGUUCUAUUUUUAACUUUUUGAGGAAACUCCAUGCGGUUUUCCAGAAUGGCUGCACCAGCUUGCAUUCCCACCAACAGUGUAAGAGGCUUCCCCUUUCUCCACAUCCUCACCAAUAUCUGUUGUUUCCUGUGUUGUUUGUGGUUCUGUUUUUUGUUUUUUAAUUUAUUUCAUUUCAUUUUAAUAUUUUAUUAUAUAUUUGCCAGAGAGAGAGAGAGAGCACGCAAGUACAAGCAGGGGGAGCAGCAGGCAGAGGGAGAAGCAGGCUCCCCGCUGAGCAAGGAGCCUGAUGUGGGACUCGAUCCCAGGACCUUGGGAUCAUGACCUGAGCUGAAAGCAGACACUUAACUGACUAAGCCACCCAGGUGCCCCUUCGUGGUUUUGAUUUGCAUUUACCUGAUGACCAGUGUUGGGCAUCUUUUCAUGUAUCUGAUGGCCAUCUAAAUGUCUUCUUUGGAGAAAUGUCUGUUCAUGUCUUCUGCCCAUUUUUUGGUUGGAUUACUUGUUUUUUUUUGGUGUUGAGUUGUGUAAGUUCUUUAUAUAUUCUGGAUACUAACUCUUUAUUGGAUAUGUCAUCUGCAAAUAUCUUCCCCCAUUCAGUGGGUUGUCUUUUAGUUUUGUUGAUUGUUUCCUUUACUGUACAGAAACUUUUUAUUUUGAUGUAGUCCCAAUAGUUUAUUUUUGCUUUUGUUUCCCUUGCCUUGGGAGACAUAUCCAGAAAAAUGUUGCUAUGGCCAGUGUCAAAAUCCUGUGCUCUCUGCUAGGAUUUUAUGGUUUCAUGUCUCACAUUUAGGUCUUUAAUUCAUUUUGAGUUUGUUUUUGUGUAUGGUGUAAGAAAGUGGCCCAGUUUCAUUCUUUGCAAGUAGCAGUUUUCCCAACAUCAGUUAUUGAAGAGACUGUCUUUUUCCCAUUGCAUGUUCUUGCCUCCUUUGUCAAAUAUUAGUUGACCAUAUAAUCAUGGUUUUUUUUCCUGGGCUCUCUAUUCCGUUCUAUUGCUUUAUGUGUCUCUUUUUGUGCCAGUACCAUACUGUUUUGAUUACUAUAGCUUUGUAGUAUAUCUUGAUAUCUGGGAUUGUGAUACCUCCAGUUUUGUUCUUCUUUUUCAAGAUUGCUUGGGUAUUCAGGAUCUUUUGUGGUUCCUACAAAUUUUAGUAUUGUUUGUUCUGUGAACAAUGCUGUUAGUAUUUUGAUAGGGAUUGCACUGAAUUUUUAGAUUGCUUUGGGUAGUAUGGACAUUUUAAUAAUAUUUGUUCUUCCAAUCCAUGAGCAUGGAAUAUCUUUCCAUUUGUUUGUGUUGUCUUCAAUUUCUUUCAUCAGUGUUUUAUAGUUUUCAGAGUAUAGGUCUUUUACCUCCUUGAUUAACUUUAUUCCUAGAUAUUUUAUUAUUUUGGUGCAAUUGUAAACGGGAUUGUUUUCUUAAUUUCUCUUUCUGCUACUUCAUUAUUAGUGUAUGGAAAUGGAAUGGAUUUCUGUAUAUUGAUUUUGUAUCCUGUGAUGUUACAGUUCUAGUAGUUUUUUGGUGGAGUCUUUAGGGUUUUCUAUACAUAAUAUCAUGUCAUCUGCAAAUAGUGAAAAUUUUACCUCUUCCUUACCAAUUUGGAUGUCUUUUAUUUCUUUUUUUUUUUGUCUGAUUGCUGUGGCUAGGACUUCUGGUACAAUGUUGAAUAAAAGUGGUAGAGUGGGGGCACCUGGGUGGCUCAGGCAAUUAAGCGUCAGACUCUCAAUUGCAACUCAAGUCUUGAUCUCAGGGUUGUGAAUUCAAGCCCCAUGUUGGGCUCCAGGAUGGGCAUGGAGCCUAUUAAAAAAAAAAAAAGUGGUGAGUGGAUAUCCUUGUCUUAUUCCUGAUCUCAGGGGAAAAACUCUCAGUUUUUCACCGUUAAGUAUGAUGUUAGCUGUGGGUUUUUCAUAAAUGGCCUUUAUUAUGUUGAGGUAUGUUCCCUCUAAACCUACUUUGUUAAGGAUUUUUAUCAGGAAUGGACAUUGUAGUUGUCAAAUGCUUUUUCUGCAUCUAUUGAAAUGAUCAUAUUGUUUAAAUCCUUUCUCUUGUCUUUUUUUUUUUUUUUUUUUUAGAUUUUAUUUUUAAGUGAUCUCUACACCAAACACAGGGCUUGAACUUACAACCCUGAGAUCAAGAGUCACAUGCUCUACCAACUGAGCCAACCAGGUGCCCCUAUUCUUUCUCUUGUUGAUGUGAUAUAUCACAUUGAUUGAUUUGCAAAUAUUGAACCACCCUUGUAUAUUGAGAAUAAAUACCACCUGAUGGUAACGAAUGAUUUUUUUUAAUGUAUUGUUGGAUUCAAUUUGCUAAUAUUUUGUGAGGAUUUUUACACCUAUGUUCAUCAGAGAUAUUGGCCUGUACUUCUCUUUUUCUGUAGUGUCUUUAUCUGGUUUUGGUGUCAGGGUAAUACUGGCCUCAUGGAAUGAUUUUGGAAGUUUCCUUUCUCUUGAAUUUUUUUGAAUAGUUUGAGAAGAAUAGAAUUCUUUAAUUUUCUUUAAAGAACAAAACUAUUUAAAUGUUUGGUAGAAGGGCUCCUUGAGUGCCUCAGUAGGUUAAGCGUCAGACUCUUGAUUUCAGCUCAGGUCAUGAUCUCAGGGUUGUGAGAUCAAGCCCUGCCUCAGGCUCUGUACUGGGGGUAGAGCCUGCUUAAGAUUCUCUGUCUCUCUCUCCCUCUGCCCCAACCACCCCCUCCAAUAAAUAAAUAAAUACAUGUUUGGUAGAAUUCACCAGUGAAGCUAUCUGGUCCUGGACUUUUGUUUCUUGGGAGUUUUUUGAUUGCUGAUUCAAUUUCAUGGCUAGUAAUCUGUCUGUUCAAAUUUUCUAUUUAUUCCUGAUUCAGUUUUGGCAGGUUAUAUGUUUCUAGGAAUUUAUUCAUUUCUUCUAGGUUGUCCAAUUUGUUGAUAUGUAAUUUUUCGUAAUAUUUUCUUAUAAUCCUUUUGUAUUUCUGUGGUAUCAGUUGUUAUUUCUCCUCUCUCAUUUCUGGUUUUGUUUACUUGGUGGACUUCCUUCCUUCCUCCUUUCCUGAUGAGUCUGUUUACAGGUUUAUCAAUUUUGUUGAUCUUUUCAAAGAACCAGUUCCUGGUUUCAUCAAUCUCUCUCUCUCUCUCUUUUUUUUUUUUUUUUUUUAGUUUCUAUUUCAUUUAUUUCUGCUCUGAUCUUAUUUCCUUCCUUCUACUGGUUUGGGGUUUUGUUUGUUCUUCUUUCUCUAGCUCCUUUAGGUGUAGGUUCAGUUGUUUAUUUGAGAUUUUUCUUGCUUCUUGAGGUUGGUUUGGAUUGCUGUAAGGUUCCCUCUUAGAAUAGCUUUUAUUGCAUCCCAAAGAUUUUGGACUGUUGUGUUUUCAUUUUUAUUUGUCUCCACAUAUUUUUUGAUUUCCUCUUAUUUCUUGGUUGACCCAUUCAUUGUUUAGUAGCAUGUUAUUUAACCUCCAUGUAUUUGUGUCCUUUGCAGAUGUUUUUCUUGUGGUUGAUUUCUAGUUUCAUAGUGUGAUGGUCAGAAAAGAUGCAUGGUAUGACUUCAAUCUUUUUGAACUUAUUAAUACUGGUUUUGUGGCCCAAGAUCUGAUUCUACUCUGGAGAAUAUUCCAUGUACACUCGAAAAGAAUGUGUGUCCCACUGUUUUAUAAUGGACUGUUCUGAAUAUAUUUGUUAAAUCCACCUGGUCCGAAGCUACUGUUUUUUUAUUUUUUAUUUUAUUUUAUUUUUUAAAGAUUUUAUUUAUUUAUUUGACAGGGAGAGACACAGUGAGAGAGGGAACACAAGCAAGGGGAGUGGGAGAGGGAGAAGCAGGAUUCCCGUGGAGCGGGGAGCCCGAUGCGCAGCUUGAUUCCAGGACCUGGGAUCAUGACCUGAGCCAAAGGCAGACGCUUAACGACUAAGCCACCCAGACGCCCCAAAGCUACUGAUUUUUUUAAUUGAUUUUCUGUCUGGAUAAUUGAUUGAUGUCUCACUGAGGUCCUCCAGUCUUUUCUCAAGUCCAGUCUGAACCAGUGCCAAGACUAGACCCAUGUAGGAUCCUGGGUUUGCAUCGGUUAUAUAAGCAAACCAGUUUCUGCUGUGAUCUGGAAGAGUCAAAACCAUGAGUGUUUUUCAGCUUCCAUUUUGUCAGCUGCUUAAGUUUCUAUUCUGAGAGGUGCUAACUGUUAAGCAUUGUUAUUCACUUGUGUUCCCUAAAUAACUUUUAAUUAGUUUUAAUUUGGACCAAGGAUGUUCUACUGUUGACAGUGACAGGAAUUAUCAAAAACUAAUAAAGAACUAAAAAAAAACUAAUAAAGAACUCACUUCAAAAAAAACUUGCACUAAUAUUACAGUAUUUUAUAAUGUCUAUCUCAGCAGACACAGCUAAUUUACAUUUUUAAAUUUCAUUUUUUGAUGAUUUUCCUCAAAGCCAUAAUCAUAUUGGUUAAAAGUUUACCUAAACAUUAUUUUUCACCUGCAAGCAUUUUUCACAAUGGAAUUUUUCUUUUAUCUUUCAGUGGAAUGAAUGCACGGGUGCAAGAAACGUAAUCAAAUUAGUAACUGUAUGGAGCCUUUGAAACUGUGUUUUGCUGGAUAGUGACUAUUACUCAGUGAAAAAUGAGCAGUAAAUCCUUUCCCCUUAAAAAUUGUCAAAGAAGGGGCACCUGAGUGGUGCAGUUGAUUAAGUGUCCGACUCUUGGUUUUGGCUCGGGUUGUGAUCUAGGGAUCUUGAGAUUGAGCCCCGAGUCCGGCUCCACACACAGCGGGGAGUCUGCUUGAGAUUCUCUUUCUCUCUCUCCCUCUGCCCAUCCCCCUGCUUGUGCACUCUCUCUCUCUCAAAUAAAUAAAUAAAUCUUUUAAAUAAAAUAAAAAUCGCCAAAGAAAAGUUUGUCAUGCCUUUCAGAAUAUCAUAAAGCAGACAAUACAAGGAAUUCAAGAAUAGUGUUGGAGUUUUUCAGUCAAACACCCCCUCUUCCCUCAGUUGUCCCCUAAUCCUUAGGGCAUGAUUCUAACAAAGACUCAAACAUCCCUUUGUCUAAAAAGUGACCCACUAUCAAAGAGCUAGUAAUCUUGGGGUCAGCCCUUUGUCUUUUCCAAAGUGAGUAAAACCUUCUGAAUCCUACAGGGUAAAAAUCUGGCAAAAGUCAAAGAGAAUUUCUGAUACAUCAAGGAAAUACGCCAUGAGGAUCCUGUACAUGACACUAAUCCAAGCAUGCUCUAGUUUAGUUCAAAAACCAGUAAAGACAUAAAUGUCUGAGCAGGUUUCUUUAGUGAAAGCAAGCCUGUGAUAUGUAAGCUAAAUCUCCAAGUGUAGUGACCAACGGGGAUCUUGUUUCCAGACUCAUUUUCAUCAUCUUCUUAAGUACUUCUUAAUUUGGUUUUGGGACCACUUAGCUAAUUACAGAUGAGCAGGAUGGGCCUUGUGUGUUACUGAACAACUGAGAGAAUUAUUUAGUAUUCUGUAGUUCAGUGACAGAGAGUCUGGAUGCGCUUGAAUAUUUAGGGAGUUUUACCUUAUCUUUUUGUUAUAGAGGCCUUACGACAACUUAAAACAUUGGUCAGCUUCAUUGUUACCUAGCUAGACUUUUAUUUUUUUAUUUUAUUUUAUUUUAUUUUAUUUUAAAGAUUUUAUUUAUUAUUUGACAGAGAAUGAGAGAGAGAGAGCACAUGAGAGGGGGGAGGGUCAGAGGGAGAAGCAGACUCCCUGCCGAGCAGGGAGCCCGAUGCGGGACUCGAUCCCGGGACUCCAGGAUCAUGACCUGAGCCGAAGGCAGUCGCUUAACCAACUGAGCCACCCAGGCGUCCCCGUAGCUAGACUUUUAAAGAUUGGCUAGCCAAGACUGAAUUUUAUUCAAGCACUAUUUUAAGGACAUUAGCCUGUUCUAUGGCCAUGAUCGGUACUAUUUAAAUUUCCAGCAUCUCUGUGUUCUGUGGGCCAACCUAUUGUGUUAGUGGUACCACCUAAUUUGUCACAAUUCUGGACACACUGGCAGACCUCAGGUGUAUCUGGAGCUCGUGGAUAGGUAUGGGCAUCUGUCUGGAACUCCAGUUUUACUUGAAGACUUGGAAGGAAAAAAAAUUAAUCAAUUUAACCAUUUAUUUAAUGUGCUGCCAAUUCUUUAUUUAAUUUGCUGUGACGCAAACAAAAUUAUGCAUUAGCUAUGUUAUGACUAAAACCCAAAUGUUGACUAAUACUUACAGUGAUAGAAUAACAACUUGUAAACCAAGAAGUGUGUUUGUUUAGCUGUCAGAAUUCCAGCCAGAAGCCAACUUGUGAUGCUAAGGAAAAAAUAGGAUGACAUUGGUCCUGGGAGGGUGAUGAGACACGACCCCACUGGGCCGCCAGGUGAGGCAGACCAAAGCCUACUGCUCCCAUCUCCUGUCUAUGUCCUCUGUGGUUGGACAGGAAUUCUAAGGACUAUUGGAGAAGGAAUAGGGAAUAGGACUGAUUCUGUUAGGAGAGAUCCUGAAAAACCUGGACCAGCUGAAUGUGGGUGGCACCAUUAAGGAAGUUUCCUCCUACCUCAGCAAAGACUGCACUGGGCAGGAGCUCUCUGAGGUACAAAGACAUCCUCCAAGAACUGUCCCCAUGACUCUACCUGACCUGGCCAUGGCACCUCCCAACUCCCAGUGCCUGAGUCUCUACCUUUAAUGAAGACCACCCUUGAGCAUCCCAUCAGUGGACCUCCUGCUUCUCCCUAGCCUGCCUACUGUGGGCAAUGCAGCCUUGCUCAGGUCCAAUCCUAGCCUGUGAGCGAGCUCCUGCCCUUGACCCUGGCCCAGGCUUCCAGUUCCUGUCUUCAUGUGGCCCACUCCCCGGACUGCAGACUGGGUCCAACCAAUGAAGAAUUUAAAGCCAGAUUUUUCUGUGAAAAUAAAUACAAAUGCAAAAUUUACGCGGGUGUCUAAGAUACAAGACCUCAGAUAUGAUGGGUGCUAUUCACGGUGCCUUUGAACAGUUCCUCAGCCCCUUUGGGAUGCAUUCAUCCUUCCCUGCCAUUAGAGUAUCUCCAGCAGACAGGUCUGAGAAGCCCCACUCUGAGAAACAUCACUAUGAGGUGAAGGAGCCCGCAUGUGAAGUCCUCCCUCAGAAUCGGAGACAGUGCUCUUCAGAAGGCACGUGGAAAUUCCAUACAGUUCCAGAUACCUGGCCUCCUAACUGAGCGCGAGGCCAUGCCUUUAUGCCCCCUUCCUAAUCCGUGCAAAAUGUCAGAGGAAUAAAACCAGUUUUGUUUCUUAAUGGGCUCAUAAAAUGUGCCAAUUUUGUACAGACUGCUUUUUUCUAUUUUUCUGUAAAGUUGUUUUCAGAAGCAUUUAAAAUUGUUUGUAGCAUUCAACUUUAUGUUGCUUGUUUUUCAUUUCCAGAAAGAUAGAGGCAGCUCUGGCUGAUGCUGGGGAAUCUGAGCUCAGAGGGCAUGAGGCAGGGUCCAGGGACCUCCCGCUUCCACAAGAUGCUUGUACUGCAGCCCCCGCGCCCUCAGCUCCAUCCCCCUCCUUGCCCGUGUAGACACAGGAGAGCCUUUCUGAGCAUGAGGCCGUCACUCUGGAAGCGUCUGAGGAGGACAGGGAGGGGCCUCCUUGUCCUGGACAAACAACAGCUGUGCCAUUACCUGGCCUUUUUCUCUCUUCUCCUGCCCCGAGGGCUCAGGGUACAUCUUGAGUGGGAAGAAAUGCACCACAAGGGGUCCCUAAUUUGAGAUCUGAUUGCAAUAGUCUGGUUCCAGCCAGGCCAGUUGUAGGUCUAAUUCAGUGAAUUCUGGAUUAAGUGAAGGAUCUGACCCUUCCCAGACAGCCCCUCGAGCUCUGCCCCUCAAACAUAAAAUUUCCCAGAGACCGAUCUUGGCAUGUGUUUCCCAGAGAAGCUGGCAAAUUUGGAGGAUUAUACUUCUGUAUCUGUUUCUACUCUGGCAGCUAAGUAGCGUGUUGGUUAGGAGGCUCUUGUGCAUUUAUUAGAACUGUCACCCUAAGAGCGUGUUUGCAGGGUCCUGGCUCUGAGGUAAACACCCCCCCACCCCCCCACCGUUCAGUUGCACAGGGCUUAUGUGUCCCUUUUGCCCUAAACCAGAGCCUUCUCUCGCACUGUAUGCAUGAGCCCUGACACCUAGCAGAUGGAAAUUCAUCCCUGAGAUGAAGAGAGAUCAUCUGCCACCUACCUCCCAGAUGGCUUAGGAAGGGCAAAGAAAGAUUCAGAGGAACUAAGCUAAGAAAGUGAGAACAAGGGAAUCCAGUUGGGUUAAUUCUAAGGGACACACCAGGGAGCUUCCUGGUAUGGCCUGAAUCACUGUAUGGGACUCGGUAUCAGGGAAAAUAACCCAUGCCUUCAAGGAGGAGAGGCUGAAGGACAAAGC